ACUAAUAAUGUAUAUACCCCCAUUACGCGAUUGCGCUUUAAAGAAAUCAAUUUCGGUGAAAAUAAAAACAUUUCAAAAAUGUACAUAGUGUGAUUAAUUAUACUUAUUAAAAAGAUCGAAUCUACCGUAAAUUCUUUUAUUUACAUAAAUUCGGAAAUUAAUAAAAGGCUUCAAUAAAAAUAUUAUAAAAGAAAUAGAAAGGCAAUUAUUUGCUGAGCUGUGUGCAUUGAAUUUUUUGCUGAAGUAAAUGCUAUUCAUGAUGUGUUAUUAAUAUAAACUUCUUAUUAAAUACAUGUAAUAACUGGCAUUGUGAAAAAGACAUUAUCAAUUUACCAUAAUGGGGACGGUAUUAAGCUUUAAUCCAAGAGAACGCCAUCCGUUUUAUUCAUCCCAGACUAGCAUUCAAUAUAACCAACAAUCUGACGUUCGAAACGAAUAUAUAUUGGAAGGUUCUUCUUUAAUGGACUCUCAUUUGAACAACUUUUGCUACGAGCAGUUGAAUAAUGCCAAAAAUCAGGAAACGAAGCAAAGUAUUCAUGUUCCGCUUGCUAAAAAUGGCAUAAUUGCGCAUAAUGGAUGUGGAAGAAUAAAUGUAGGCAAGCAAAGUCAUGUUACCAGCUAUAGUUUCAAUAAAUUAAAAGGUACAAAAGACACAAUUAACAAUGAUUUGGAUUCACACAAUGAAAAUUCUGCACUUUUCACGGAAAAAACUACUAUUGAAAAGAGUAUGAAAAAGCACUCGUUAUUUAUUAGUGCAUUGUCUUGGAAAAAACUUGCUGCGUCGCAUAAUAAAAAGAAAAUUGAAAAUAAAAAUAAAUUUGCUAACAUACCUACAGGCUGUUUCAAAACUCAUCCGUUGGAUGCCUCAAACGUAGCUUAUACCGAUAAUAAUAAAAAUGUUCGCUUGCAUUUUAACCAUAUUAACGACAGUCAGCACAUAAAUUUAAAUCAAGAUAACUCUCAACCAUGUAACACGCUCUUUUCAAAUUCUAAAACUAAAAAGCAAAUAACAUCACAAGAUCUUGUUAGAAUUAAUACCACUAAUUUUAAUAAGCAUAACAAAUUGAUUCAAAAAGAGCCUUUGACUUUAUCUUUGCCUCCACAAUCGCAGACAAUUCAUAAUAAAAACAGCCACAUUCCGAGGAAAACUGUAAUUCAGGCAUCAACCUCGGAGCUAUUGAAAUGUUUGGGAAUAUUUUUGCAUUACCGAUGUAAAAAAUUGAAAAAUUUUGAAGCCGGAGAUGCCGUCAUGUGGUUAAGAGCUGUCGAUAGAAGCCUAUUACUUCAGGGCUGGCAAGAUGUGGCAUUUAUAAAUCCGGCAAAUGUAGUAUUUGUAUACAUGCUAAUAAGAGAACUAGUAGAUGGCGAAGAAACCAAGGAAUCGGAGCUGCAGGCAUCUGUCCUUACGUGUUUAUAUUUAUCAUAUUCUUAUAUGGGCAAUGAGAUAAGCUACCCACUGAAACCAUUCCUAGUUGAAGACUGUAAAGAUAAAUUUUGGGAAAGUUUACAAGAAUUUGAGAAUGUGGAAGAUAAUGUAAAAAAUUGUGCGACUCAAGUUGAAGUGUGAACGCAAUAAUUGACACCAAUAGAGAAUUUGCCGAUAAUGAGCGACCAAAAGAGACAUCGUUUAAUGGCGAGUUACAUAUACAAACACUUCCAACCCAAAUCCCAUAUACAAACUUGCCAAUAAUUAUAAAGCCACUCCAAAACCAAUACACCACAAUGCUGACGAUAUAGACGAACUCAUUGCUACAAUAAAUAAAACAAGAUGCCUAAUCAUUGUCAAUCGCUUGAGCAGUAAAAUGUUGAAAAUCAAUGCUGAACCAGGAUUUUUCACGGAGGUAUUCACGG